rnacentral:rRNA from 1 species
AGUGAACGCUGGCGGCGUGCUUAACACAUGCAAGUCGAACGAGAACGGAUUAUAGCUUGCUAUAAUUGUCAGCUAAGUGGCGCACGGGUGAGUAAUGUAUAGAUAACCUGCCCUCUAGAAAGGAAUAACAGUUGGAAACGACUGCUAAUGCCCUAUAUGCCUUUAAUACAUAAGUAUGCAAGGGAAACGCUUUAGUGCUAGAGGAUGGGUCUGUAUGGUAUCAGCUAGUUGGUGAGGUAAUGGCUCACCAAGGCUAUGACGCCUAACUGGUUUGAGAGGAUGAUCAGUCACACUGGAACUGAGACACGGUCCAGACUCCUACGGGAGGCAGCAGUGGGGAAUAUUGCACAAUGGACGAAAGUCUGAUGCAGCAACGCCGCGUGGAGGAUGACACAUUUCGGUGCGUAAACUCCUUUUAUAUAGGAAGAUAAUGACGGUACUAUAUGAAUAAGCA